UUCUCAAGUUACAAAAGAAACUUUAGAGGAAGGAAAAAAAAUCAGAUAACCAGUGAGUCCUAUCGUAUCGUAUCGUACAACGCUGCAAGGAGCUGAGUGAGGGACCUUGAUCCUGGUGAAGGACUCUUGUCCCGAGGAAUUGGAGCUACCUACACCAUUCUCAUUUAUCAGGGGCUGCAUGAAAGGUGUACGUCACGUCCAGCUGAUGAUGCAGGUGUAAACAACUGGGACGCCCCUACCUCAUUAAACCAAAAAGAGUUGUGACUAGCAAGAUGAAGGCAUGAUCAAUUAACGUAUGACUUAAGGAUAUGAAAGCCAUAGCCAACAUACCAUUUAUAGUUUGUAACAUCUUUGUAGAAUUCUUUUUAACAAGUACAUGAUGCACUCUUCAUUUCCACACAUCAAAGUGACAAGGAAAUCAAAAUUUAAAUUGACAUCCAAUCGGUAAGCUGACAUAACUGAAGUUAUUUUGAAUACACAUUUGCUUUCAUUGCUGCUAAAACUGCAUACGUACAUUGCUGUUUAAUACGAAUUAGUCACAUUAUUUUGUUUCUUUGGGUAUGUAUUGAAAUAUCAGCCACCCCCAAUUUUUUUUAUCCAUUUUAUGUAUGCAGUAUGAUAAUGGAUGAUAAUGGAUAUAGUAGCAGAUUCUUAAUGUCAAACAAAGCCUAUACUGUAAGCUUCUAUGCCUAAACUUAUCCCUGGUAUUGUAACAGACAUUUUAGACAUAUGACAGGUUUUGUACCAAUAAUGGUCUCUAGAAUUUUUAGUAACUUACUGUUGAACAGUUGCCAGAGGAUUUCCCUUUUUUAUCGUAUAUAUGAAUCAGAUAAGUAAUUACAAGAAUUCUGAGUGUUGUAUAAUGAUGCCAUCAUGUCCUUUUAAACUUCUGAGAAAUAUAUUGGUUUCUUUAUAGAAUAGAAAAUGCCAAACUCAAGAGGAUGCUAAAAUAUACUUAAGUCUUGGUUAAUGCAUUUGAAAACCUAAUGUUGCAUGAUCAUAGCUUGCCUUUUCAAUAUUCUGGGGUUUAAAUUUAGUUUUUCAUUUCUAAUAGAAGGUUUGCUUGCUUCCAUUAAAGCUGGUGCAAAAUUAAUUGCCAUUGGUGGCAUGCAUUUCUGUUAAGGAGCACUACAGCAGGCAGGUAGGAGACUUGCCCCUAUGCAUUGAUCAACUCAUUUAUUUUAGUGGUGCAGAGAAGGGUAUAAUGGAGAGUGAUGGAUGUAAACAAACCUCUUCCCAUGUGGGUCAAUGUAUGUCAUUGCUUGGUUGUUCCUUACUUUCAUCACCCCAUUUAGUCUCCGGAUACCCAAAUAAAGUGCAGGUGAUGUUGGUGAAGUAAAGAAGAAAAUUAAAUAUGAAACUAUGCCUGUUUCAAAAAAAAAUAAAAAGGUAAUCAAGAUGCUGAAAGGUGGUGCUCAUGUCAUGAAGAUGGCUCAAAUGUUAGGUGUUAGAGAAUCAAUGAUUCAUUCAAGACAAUGAGAUGAAGAUAAAGGCUUGUGCAGUGAGUAAUUCUCAGUGUAACACAGUGAAAAAUGAGAAAUAGGUCAUUAUAGCUAAAUAAAACAGAAAGUUUACUAAAAUGUGUGGAUUGAAAAGCAAACAAAGAAAGGUAAUUUUUUUUUUUUUCAACAAGUCGGCCGUCUCCCACUGAGGCAGGGUGACCCAAAAAAGAAAGAAAAUCCCCAAAAAGAAAAUACUUUCAUCAUCAUUCAACACUUUCACCACACUCACACAUUAUCACUGUUUUUGCAGAGGCACUCAGAAUACAACAGUUUAGAAGCAUAUAUGUAUAAAGAUACACAACAUAUCCCUCCAAACUGCCAAUAUCCCAAAUCCCUUUUUUAAAGUGCAGGCAUUGUACUUCCCAUUUCCAGGACUCAAGUCCGACUAUAUGAAAAUAACCGGUUUCCCUGAAUCCCUUCACUAAAUAUUACCCUGCUCACACUCCAACAGAUCAUCAGGUCCAAAGUACCAUUCGUCUCCAUUCACUCCUAUCUAACACGCUCACGCAC